ACGGAAGGCAGCAGUGAGGAAUAUUGGUCAAUGGACGUGAGUCUGAACCAGCCAAGUAGCGUGAGGGAUGACGGCCAUAUGGUUGUAAACCUCUUUUGCGAGGGAAUAAAGUGCGUCACGUGUGGUGCAUUGCAUGUACCUUUCGAAUAAGGAUCGGCUAACUCCGUGCCAGCAGCCGCGGUAAUACGGCGGAUCCGAGCGUUAUCCGGAUUUAUUGGGUUUAAAGGGAGCGUAGGCGGGAAGUCAAGUCAGCUGUGAAAUGUAGGCGCUCAACGUUUGCACUGCAGUUGAAACUGGUUGUCUUGAGUGCGUAAGAGGCAGGUGGAAUUUGUCGUGUAGCGGUGAAAUGCUUAGAUAUGACGAAGAACUCCGAUUGCGAAGGCAGCCUGCUGGGCCGCAACUGACGCUGAAGCUCGAAGGUGCGGGUAUCAAACAGGAUUAGAUACCCUGGUA
rnacentral:rRNA from 1 species